rnacentral:rRNA from 1 species
CGUCUAGUUUAGCACCUAAACGGCGAAACUGCGAAUGGCUCAUUAAAUCAGUUAUCGUAUAUUUGAUAGUACCUACUACAUGGAUAACCGUGGUAAUUCUAGAGCUAAUACAUGCUUAAAACCCCGACUUCGGAAGGGGUGUAUUUAUUAGAUUAAAAACCAAUGCCCUUCGGGGCUCACUGGUGAUUCAUAAUAACUUCUCGAAUCGCAUGGCCUUGUGCCGGCGAUGGUUCAUUCAAAUUUCUGCCCUAUCAACUUUCGACGGCUGGGUCUUGGCCAGCCGUGGUUACAACGGGUAACGGAGGGUUAGGGCUUGACCCCGGAGAAGGAGCCUGAGAAACGGCUACUACAUCCAAGGAAGGCAGCAGGCGCGCAAAUUACCCAAUCCCAAUACGGGGAGGUAGUGACAAUAAAUACUGAUACAGGGCUCUUUUGGGUCUUGUAAUUGGAAUGAGUACAAUUUAAAUCCCUUAACGAGGAACAAUUGGAGGGCAAGUCUGGUGCCAGCAGCCGCGGUAAUUCCAGCUCCAAUAGCGUAUAUUAAAGUUGUUGCAGUUAAAAAGCUCGUAGUUGAACCUUGGGCCUGGCUGGCCGGUCUGCCUCACCGCAUGCACUGGUCCGGCCGGGCCUUUCCCUCUGGGGAGCCGCAUGCCCUUCACUGGGUGUGUCGGGGAACCAGGACUUUUACUGUGAAAAAAUUAGAGUGUUCAAAGCAGGCAUAUGCUCGAAUACAUUAGCAUGGAAUAAUAGAAUAGGAACGUCGCGGUUCUAUUUUGUUGGUUUCUAGGACCGCCGUAAUGAUUAAUAGGGACAGUCGGGGGCAUCAGUAUUCAAUCGUCAGAGGUGAAAUUCUUGGAUCGAUUGAAGACUAACUACUGCGAAAGCAUUUGCCAAGGAUGUUUUCAUUAAUCAGGAACGAAAGUUAGGGGAUCGAAAACGAUCAGAAUACCGUUGUAGUCUUAACCAUAAACUAUGCCGACAAGGGGAUCGGGCCGGGGUAAUUUCUUGACCCGCUCGGACCUUACCCAAAAGUAAAGUUUUGGGUUCCGGGGGGGAGUAGGGCCCAAGGC